GACGAACGCUGGCGGCGUGCCUAAUACAUGCAAGUAGAACGCUGAAGGAGGAGCUUGCUUCUCUGGAUGAGUUGCGAACGGGUGAGUAACGCGUAGGUAACCUGCCUGGUAGCGGGGGAUAACUAUUGGAAACGAUAGCUAAUACCGCAUAAGAGUAGAUGUUGCAUGACAUUUGCUUAAAAGGUGCAAUUGCAUCACUACCAGAUGGACCUGCGUUGUAUUAGCUAGUUGGUGGGGUAACGGCUCACCAAGGCGACGAUACAUAGCCGACCUGAGAGGGUGAUCGGCCACACUGGGACUGAGACACGGCCCAGACUCCUACGGGAGGCAGCAGUAGGGAAUCUUCGGCAAUGGACGGAAGUCUGACCGAGCAACGCCGCGUGAGUGAAGAAGGUUUUCGGAUCGUAAAGCUCGGUUGUAAGAGAAGAACGAGUGUGAGAGUGGAAAGUUCACACUGUGACGGUAGCUUACCAGAAAGAGACGGCUAACUACGUG
rnacentral:rRNA from 1 species